rnacentral:rRNA from 1 species
UGGGGAAUAUUGGACAAUGGGCGAAAGCCUGAUCCAGCCAUGCCGCGUGUGUGAAGAAGGCCUUAUGGUUGUAAAGCACUUUAAGCGAGGAGGAGGGUACUGGUAUUAAUACUACCAGGUACUGGACGUUACUCGCAGAAUAAGCACCGGCUAACUCUGUGCCAGCAGCCGCGGUAAUACAGAGGGUGCGAGCGUUAAUCGGAUUUACUGGGCGUAAAGCGUGCGUAGGCGGCUAAUUGAGUCGGAUGUGAAAUCCCCGAGCUUAACUUGGGAAUUGCAUUCGAUACUGGUUAGCUAGAGUUUGGGAGAGGAUGGUAGAAUUCCAGGUGUAGCGGUGAAAUGCGUAGAGAUCUGGAGGAAUACCGAUGGCGAAGGCAGCCAUCUGGCCUAACACUGACGCUGAGGUACGAAAGCAUGGGGAGCAAACAGG